CGUUAGUGGCGUUCGCUAUCAAUAGCUUCCAUUUAGCCUACUACUGCGUGCGGUAGGCCUGUCAACAAUAUCGCAAAAUUUGGAAAGAUCUAGCACAGGCUGGAAACCCCAUUAAUUUUUGGAGCCGAUCAGACUCAAAGCAGUACUAUGUCGGCAAUUCAGAGCCAGUCUCAAUGAAGGACUGGCAGGAAGCAAGGGAGGAUACUAUAUCCAUUUAUUCUGUGAAAUUAGCAAAAGUGGUGUUUGGAAAUGACCUCCUUGCUGACUCCUGCGUGCCUGGACCCGGACAUAGACAAGGAACACCUCUGGAUGAAAAAAAAUUGAAAGCUAUAAUAAGAGAAGUUAAAAAGCUGUUUACGGAUGCAACAGAGCAAUGUGUUAAAGACGCCAUCCAAGUCAAGUGUAUGAAUGAGCGUAUACAAAAAAGAAAAAGAGAAAAGAAAGAAAAAGAGUAGAAAGAAAAAGAGGAGAGCCAGAGUAAUGCAAACUGAGGGUGUAGGGGGAUGGGGGUUAGCCUCGGCCAGUUAGCUUCCACCAUCAUUAAAAAUGGUGUACAACGUGCACACUUCUGCCCACAUUUUUCCAAACAAGCCAUUAAGGUGCCACAUCACUGGUGGACACAAAUGUACAGUAUGUCGUCUAUAUGGAUUGGUGAAUGAGUUGAGAAUUUCCUGCUGGGAGGAUCAGCCAAUCCAACAUAAUUUGAUAGAUUGAUUGACAUACUGUUAAAAAAAUAAUGAGCAUGAUUAUGCAGGAUUUUUCAAAUGUAAUAAAAAAAAAACAAUUGAACUCAAUUAAGUAUGUCUCUUCUUUAGCGAUGGUUUUAAAGGUCCACUUUGUAACAUUUCCCAUUCAUAAAUGUGGCCUCAUUCAUGUUUAAUUAUCACCACCAUCUAUUCGAAAACAACGGUGGCUAGCAAGUAGUCCAUGGGCAAGACCAGAUGUCGGUACCACUCAAGGUGGCAAAGGUUACUUAUCAUUUUUGAAAAGAUCCAUGUCUGUAGGUCAGUGAUUCUUGAGAUUAGGGACAAAACAUGUCAUAUGAACAAUAUUAAUUUGAAAAACUACUCAAAAUCUUAAUCAGGACAAGGGUUGCAUAACAAGGCAUGAUUUCAUGUUGCCUUUAUACAUAGUUUUACUUCUAAAUGGUAUUGAAUGUAAUCUUUGCCUGUGUAACAAAUCCAACUAUAUCUAAAUUAAGAGUUAGAUCAGAUACAAGUUGAAGUACUACAAUGUUUUUGAAAAUUAAUGAGUUUCUGUUAAGCAACCAUAAACACUGAACAAUCAAUCAAACACCUAAACAAACAAACUGUUAUAUAAUGUUAUAUAUUUUUGUUUAAACACCCAAACCACUAAACACCCAUUCAUACCAAACAUCCCCAUCAAACAUUGGGGAUGUUUGGUAUAACACAUAAUAAAUACACACAUUUAUUCUUUGUGUGGCAGUAUCACACCUGGAAAACCCCAUGUCCAGAAGCAGAUUUCUUUAUUUCAACAUACCUUAAAAAGUAGGGCUGUCAAAAAUAACACGUUAAUUUUGAUUCAUUAAUUACAGAAAGAAUAACACGUUCAAAAUGAACGCUGAUAACGCUAAUCACAUUUCAUAGUGACAUUUGACCCAGUGCAGUCUGGCUACAAUGACUGAAGGAGGCAGACGAGAAAGCACUGCUUGGUCCUGUGAAUGAAACACACGUUUUAAAAAAAACAAACACCCAGACCACGCAUGACAGGAUAUUAUUCUAUACUAUUUCUGCAGUAAGGAAUUUCUGUUGCCUACCUUAGGAGUUCGUCAAGUCUGAUGUAUCACCUCAAUGCAGAGCAAUCCGCAGGUACGAGAUAGCACACCUCUUGAUGAUAAUGCUAACCGCCAAACACAUCACAUGACAGAAACAAAAUAAAAAAUAUACUCUCCUAAAUCUUCAAGAGCAACACCAACUGUAGUCUACGAGAUUCUACGACUUGAACCGACAAACCAGAUGGAACAAUCAGAUGGCCAGCACUCAUAGAGUGCAGAGCACUUGAUGGUGUGUAGGGUUUAAGGAGCUCACUCAGGUAAACAGGUGUAAGAUUAUGCAAGGCUUUGCAUGUUAAAAGAAGGAUUUUAAAAUCGGAUCUGGCUUGUAUUGGCAGCCAGUAAAGAGAAGCUAGGACUGGUGUAAUGUGACUGUAUUUCUUCACUUUCAUUAAGACUCUAGCUGCAGUGAUUUGAAAAUGGAUAUUUUCUAUUCAUGUAUCUAUCCUUGUAUGUAUUUUGAAAGUCUAUUCACAUGAUUCAAAAGUGCAAGCAAGAGUAGACAGGGUUAAGGACUCUUCUGGGUGGACGUCUCUGGUUAGUGUUUGGGUCAACUCAUGGCACGUUUACACACAAGGUCAGCCUGCUU